UGGGGAAUAUUGCGCAAUGGGCGAAAGCCUGACGCAGCGACGCCGCGUGGGGGAUGAAGGCCUUCGGGUUGUAAACCUCUUUCAGCAGGGACGAAUUCAGACGGUACCUGCAGAAGAAGCACCGGCCAACUACGUGCCAGCAGCCGCGGUAAUACGUAGGGUGCAAGCGUUGUCCGGAAUUAUUGGGCGUAAAGAGCUCGUAGGCGGUCUGUCGCGUCGGCUGUGAAAACUUGGGGCUCAACCCCAAGCCUGCAGUCGAUACGGGCAGACUAGAGUGCGGUAGGGGAGACUGGAAUUCCUGGUGUAGCGGUGAAAUGCGCAGAUAUCAGGAGGAACACCGGUGGCGAAGGCGGGUCUCUGGGCCGUAACUGACGCUGAGGAGCGAAAGCGUGGGGAGCGAACAGG
rnacentral:rRNA from 1 species